GAUGAACGCUGACAGAAUGCUUAACACAUGCAAGUCAACUGUGGCGGACGGGUGAGUAACGCGUAAAGAACUUGACUCACAGAUAGGGACAACAUUGGGAAACGAAUGCUAAUACCUGAGACUGUGAGAGAGGUUUGCGUCCCAUUAGCUAGUUGGAGAGGUAACGGCUCACCAAGGCGAUGAUGGGUAGCCGGCCUGAGAGGGUGAUCGGCCACAAGGGGACUGAGGCCCGGCCCUUAGUCCUACGGGCGGCAGCAGUGGGGAAUAUUGGACAAUGGACCAAAGUCUGAUCCAGCAAUUCUGUGUGCACGAUGAAGUUUUCGGAAUGUAAAGUUCUUUCAGUUGGGAAGCAGUACCAGCAGAAGAAGUGACGGCUAAAUACGUGCCAGCAGCCGCGGUAAUUC
rnacentral:rRNA from 1 species